rnacentral:rRNA from 1 species
AACGAACGCUGGCGGCAUGCCUAACACAUGCAAGUCGAAUGAGACCUUCGGGUCUAGUGGCGCACGGGUGCGUAACACGUGGGAAUUUGCCUCGGGGUAUGGAAUAACUCAGGGAAACUUGAGCUAAUACCAUAUAAUGUCUUCGGACCAAAGAUUUAUCGCCCUGAGAUAAGCCCGCGUAGGAUUAGCUAGUUGGUGGGGUAAAGGCUCACCAAGGCGACGAUCCUUAGCUGGUCUGAGAGGAUGAUCAGCCACACUGGGACUGAGACACGGCCCAGACUCCUACGGGAGGCAGCAGUGGGGAAUAUUGGACAAUGGGCGAAAGCCUGAUCCAGCAAUGCCGCGUGAGUGAUGAAGGCCUUAGGGUUGUAAAGACUCUUUACCCGUAGAUGAUAAUGACAGUAUCGGGAGAAUAAGACUCCGGCCGUAACUA